GUCCCGGUGCGGUUGUUGUGUGCGAACUAAGUAUGGCGUAUUUCUGAGCGAACGAAUUAAAUGCUGUGUUCCAAAUUUUGCGCAAAACAAUUUUAAGAUUUUAAUGUUUCGUAGUAAAGCGGUUAAAGUGUUGAAGAAACAAAAUUGAAGCAUGAAAUUGUGGUUUAAUAAAAAUACAUACACAUCUACAUAGUUUCAUUCGCGAAACAUUGGGCAGCAGCCGAAGAUUUAUCAAAUAACAAACAUUGAAAGUGAAUUAAGGCGGCCUACAUAUGAGAGAGCACGAAGCGUGUGCCAACCAAAUCUACUUACUCCCUUACUCCUAUGCGUAGUUGGAAUAGUCAGUCCCUGCAAAGAAGUUAAACAAAGUUGCAUAAGCAGCAACAGCAGCAGGAUAUGGACGCCCAAAGUAAAGUGCAUAAGUACCAACGCUAAACUGACAGUCAGUAGGAGAUGUCGACGCAAAAAGGAAGUCAACAAUCGCACUUGUAGGAUGCUUAAGUGAAAAUGUCAGCAGGUCCACUACAGAAGAUGCGCUGCGAAAGAGCGAACAUGCAACAAGGACCACACUUGAAACUUCUCAGCAGCAUUGAAGAUAGAAACAAAAUCAUAAACAUAAAUAAUAGUCAGCAAAUAUGUAUUAUGCAACAUACUUGCCGCCGGCUUGCAAGCAACACAAAUACAAGUUGAAACCAGAAAUAUUUUAUUAUACGACUAACUGUAAAACACAAAAUCGGCAAAAGUCUAGCAGCAGGAGGGCGUUGCUGCAACCAAACAGAAGUGUGUGUGUGUGUGUGCACGUGCCGCAAGUAUCUUGCAACGAAACGCGGCAGAACAAGCAAUAAAAUACGAAGUGAUAAAUUGAGCUGAAAGUAUCAAGACGCUCAUAAAAAUUUCAACUGGCGCAAAUUUAUACCGCAAGGACUUUAAAAAAGCUAGAGAUAUUCAUGCGAUUUUUUUUUAAUUUCAUCCGCGUCGCGUUCACCCAACGUGGCCGCCUCCAAAUUCUCUAACCUCACGCUGCUGUCGCAACCAUGAAUACAACGUUACAUGUCCUUGUCGCAUGCAGCAUGUAGCUCAAGUACAAGGUUCGCUUAUCCUAGUUUAGUUCAGCGCUGUUUUAGGGGCCGCAACACGUCUCGAGCUAUAUAAAGGCACACGCGAAAACACACAAAUGCAGAAUGAACGAGUGAUUGUUGCACAAUAGUGAAGCAUAAACGUACAGCUAAGAGCCAAGUAAAUCUCGAGCCACACUAUGCCACUCAUCGUCCGAAGCAUCACAAUUCUGCUGCCAUCGUUGAAAGCACGCAAAUUAAUCGUGCUCGAAGAAAAUAAGCUCACAAAAAUACAAAACUAAAAAUUAAAAAAAAAAACAAUUGUGAAAAACAUAAACGAAAUGAAAGUAAUGAAGCGAAAUAGAAAAGCAAAAAAUUCGUAGCAAACCAACUGUAGUGUAAAGGUUGAAUUUCCCGCACGCGUUCAUCGUCUCGUGCAACGCUGCCGCAAACCUGUCCGUCAAAAUGCAAGUUCAAGUUCAGCGUUCUUGAGCUACUUAAGCUACCUUGCUUGCCAAGUGCCACCUCGUGCGCUUCGUUCGUCGGCUGGUCGAGCGCUCGUUUGGUCGAAUGAUUGCUGAUUUUUUGUUGUGGUCACGGCAGUAUGAAAUCGAAAUCGAAAUUGAAAAUUGCUAACACAAAUCAAAGGAACAGAAGGAGCAUAAGUACCAACGCUUGCACCGGUGGCAGAAAUGUAUUUCUGUUGCCGGUCAAAACAGCUGUCGUGUUGUAAACAAGUCACGCAACAGUGGCAGCACGUCGUCGUUGUUGCACAGUGUUGCCCGAUAGCAACGCCGGAAUUGUUGUGACGGCUUCGAAGCACAGCCAGGAUUAUUAUUUACUUCACAUCGCUGUUUUGUUAAUAUUGUAGCUGUCAAUUGGCGUUGGUGUUGAAGAUUAAGGAUGGAGCCAAAUCAACGUCGACGACUAUGCUGUUGUAUUCGCUCCCUGCCGUUCUGGCACACAAGAUUGGCACUUGCGAGUCAUCAGAUAGCUGCCGCUGGUUAGGAAGAUCCCACCAUACGAUUGCCGCCUGAGUGCCGUCGCCAUUAUGCUUCUGCCGCCUAUAGCCGAAGACGACCAAUGCUCGGAACAACGUCUAACGGCGCAUACGAGAGCUUUCCGGUAGUGCCGCAUUAACUUUCGAGAAACUAAAAGAGUUGAGGACAUGAACACCACGCUCAUAGAAUAUAAAACACUAAAUUUGUUUUCAUUGUACAUAAUUAUUUAUUUAAUCUUUUUAUUAAUCUACGUGCCGCUACCAACACUCGUAUAUCAAAGUGAGUUCAUUAUCAAUAACGCCAUUGAGGCAUAUUUAUUUAGCAACCUACAACGGCAUUUUUUUUAUUUUUUACUGAAUUAAUAAAUUUUGUAAUCAUUGAAUUCUA